GACGAACGCUGGCGGCGUGCUUAACACAUGCAAGUCGAACGAAGUGGCGAACGGGUGAGUAACGCGUAAUCAACCUGCCCUUCAGAGGGGGACAACAGUUGGAAACGACUGCUAAUACCGCAUACUGAAGGAGGGGAUUGCGUCUGAUUAGCUAGUUGGUGGGGUAAUGGCCUACCAAGCCGACGAUCUCUAGGUGGGCUGGGAGGAUGACCAGCCAAACCGGGACUGGGACACGGCCCGGACUCCUACGGGAGGCAGCAGUGGGGAAUAUUGCGCAAUGGGGGCAACCCUGACGCAGCCAUGCCGCGGGAAUGAAGAAGGCCUUCGGGUUGUAAAGCUCUGUUAAGCGGGACGCGGUACCGGAAUAGAAAGCCACGGCUAACUACGUGCCAGCAGCCGCGGUAAUUC
rnacentral:rRNA from 1 species